CCUAUCUUAACUUGUCACCAAACAAUUCCAGGCUAUAUAGUUGGCCUCAAUGCAGGUUUGGAACGACAGAAACAAGUCACAACACACCAGCAGCUUCAAGAAAAACAGCCAUGGUCGCACACAAGAAUGUCGGUGUGGCGGCGCUCCUUCUCCUUCUCCUGUCGUUGAUGCUCUCCUCCGCCAUGUCCGCGCGAAACUUGUCUGGUGGCCCUCUCGUCUUGCCGGUGCUGAGGCUGUCUCCCGGCGGCCCGGACCCCAUACACCAUGACCUCCCGAAGCCACCCCAUCGGCCGCCGGUGCCUUUUCGGAUCAUCGGCCCUGUUGGACAGAAACUGAUACACAACAAUGAUCCUGAAACGCCGCCACCACACCGCCCGCCUCCGGUAUCGUCGUAGGCGUUGUGUAUUGUUGCUAGCUCAGUGAUGACAUAUAUAUAUAUAUGCACUCUUACAUGUAAGCUAUUACAGGA
rnacentral:lncRNA from 1 species